rnacentral:rRNA from 1 species
GAUGAACGCUGGCGGCGUGCCUAAUACAUGCAAGUCGAGCGAACAGACGAGGAGCUUGCUCCUCUGACGUUAGCGGCGGACGGGUGAGUAACACGUGGAUAACCUACCUAUAAGACUGGGAUAACUUCGGGAAACCGGAGCUAAUACCGGAUAAUAUAUUGAACCGCAUGGUUCAAUAGUGAAAGACGGUGUUGCUGUCACUUAUAGAUGGAUCCGCGCUGCAUUAGCUAGUUGGUAAGGUAACGGCUUACCAAGGCUACGAUGCGUAGCCGACCUGAGAGGGUGAUCGGCCACACUGGAACGGAGACACGGUCCAGACUCCUACGGGAGGCAGCAGUAGGGAAUCUUCCGCAAUGGGCGAAAGCCUGACGGAGCAACGCCGCGUGAGUGAUGAAGGUCUUCGGAUCGUAAAACUCUGUUAUUAGGGAAGAACAGAUGUGUAAGUAACUGUGCACGUCUUGACGGUACCUAAUCAGAAAGCCACGGCUAACUACGUG